rnacentral:rRNA from 1 species
UUUGAGCCCAACCCUCUCCACCCUCUUUGGGUCUGGGAGGACUAGUCAGUGCUAGGCUAUCUGCUGAACAAUCUCACCAAGGAGGGCCUCGUGCAGGUGACCGCGGUCACCACGGUGAGCGCGCUCUUGACGAUGCUCGCGGGUAUGUUCUCCUCCCAAUCUCUGAGUCGUGUCAAUAAUAUUUGCACGGCUCUGGUAACCGCGCAGAAGGGCACCCAAUCGGUGACCACCUUCUUCGCCCACAUGUGCAGCCUCGCCGUUGAGCUGGCGGCCGCCAGCAAGCCUCUGCAGGAUGACAAACUCAUCUCAUACAUCCUCCAUGGCCUCGACAUGGAGUACCAACCCUUGGUCUCUGCUCUCGACGCCCGCAUCACCCCGAUCUCCCUCGACGAACUCUUCGCGAUGCUCAGCAACUUCGAUCAACGGGUGGCCAUGUUCUAG